AAAAAAAAAUUCAAUUUCCAUGAAAAUGCCUUAAAGGGCUCUCAAGCUCAUUUGUGCUCUCAUGCUUGAAAUUCAUCUUUUCUACAUGCAACACUGGUAUAUUUUCCCUCACUAUAUAGGUCUUUCAAAAUGUUUCCUUUUUAAAGAAAAAAAAAAAGAAAAAAAACAGCUUACAUUUUUUCCUUUGGAGCCUUCUUGUUCAUAAUGAGCUUAUGGAUAAGUAACACAGACCCAUCUAGAAAUAAAAUUAUGCACUAGGUUCACUGAAAAAAGUAAUUACAUUAUAAUCAAACUGUCACUUUAUAAGAUAGUGGGAGAUGAAAUACAGCAUAAGCUGACAAAAGAGGAGGACAGCUCACUCUUUUAAAUAUUAUCCAUGGCACAAAGCAGUGAAGAAACUCUGAAUUACAUACAGUGUCACCAGGAAAGCUCUUGGAGUCAGGGAGGGGGAUCACAACACUGAGACCAGAAAGACAGAGAUACUUGCUUUUGGUGGAGUGAGUGAACCUUCAGCUGUCUGCAAUCCAAAGCACACACAGGCUACUACUGUCAGUAGACUGACAGCCCAAGGGUGCUUGGACACCUAGUGAGAAACACUGACCUGUGAUUAGCAGUCACACUGAAUUUGUGCAUUAUAUUUUGCAGGGACCUGAACUCUGUGCACCUGUGGCAGUUAUUCAGUUACCAUCCUUGUUUGCUUCUGCUGAAGCCUUUGUGCCCCACUGAGCUGCCAGCUUGUAUCCAGCAGAGGCUGACUCAUAUCUCAGGUUAAAUGGUAAAUGAAAAUUCCUUUAUCUUCAAAACCGUCAGUGCAAUGACCCUCACCAGAAUUAAUACAGCUUUUACGGAAAAUAUGACUGUAACUGCACCAUGAGGAAAAGGGGAAAAUAAAGAGAAAAAGAGGACUGUAAAAUGAUGCCUUCUGAGACGUCCUCCUGUGCUGUAUUCAUCCCAUCUAAUUCCAGGCUGCUAACUCU